rnacentral:miRNA from 1 species
AAGUCGUAUUACACUCUUAGA